AAGUCUGGAAACAGAACAACUGCUGAACAGAAACAUGAACUUCGACAUCCCAGUCUACCUGAAAACCACAGAAGAAAACCACAACAUCGACAUCACCCGCCACGGCGCCAACGUGGGCCACACCUACCCAGCGAUUUCAAUAGUGAGCACAGACGAUGAUUUAUCCUGAUCGUUCAGGAUUUAGUUUGUUCUUUGUGGAAACCUCCUCCAUGUUGCCAUGCCAACGGUUCGCCGUAACGGCGGCUCUUACAGUUCAACCACAUGCCUUCAGAAGUGCAUUAAGUCCUGAUCUGUGGUGAAGAGGAAAUGUUAUUUAUUAUGUGAAUACUUCCAUGAGUUUUCCAUGUUCACUCCAAAGUGUUAAUGAAUUUUUCUUUUUGCUUUUCCAACAUUGUCUUUGCCCGUCUGUUCAGAGAACAGUUUUCUCUUUGAGUCUCUUUCUGUGUUCAGCCUGGACUGAACAUCUGAAGAACUGGGCGUCUUCAUCAAACUGUUUCCUGGUUCUGAUUUAAACCGGGUCAAAGUUCUCAGGUCUUAACGGGGAACAAGUCUGGAGACUAAAAGACUAGUAUUUAAUUAUGAAACAGGAUGUUAAUAUUUCUGAUCAUGCUUUGCUGGAUAAUAUUAGGGUUUCUUCUGUUUAUUGCAUUAAUAUUAUUGCUGCUGAGAUCACCAUGGUUACAGCGUUUGUAAACAGUGUAAAUAUAUUUCCUCCCUCAGAGAUGUGACUGUAAAUCAGGACUCUCCUCAAUGCACUUUGAUCAAUGUUCUCUGUAAAUAAGAUUGUAUACACUGACUUGAAUCUUUUUUUUGUUUUUUUUUUUGCUAUGGCUGGUUUCCUCACCAGAGUUCAGAUGUAUUUAAGGAGAGCAGAGGAGGAAAAACAAAUGAAUUUGGUAAAAAUGACUAUUUUGUAUGUUUGUGCUGUUGCUGUGAACUUUUUAUAUCCUUGUACAGUGAAGGAGAAUGAAAUGAUCUGUAUCUGAAGGAACUGAUUCACAAAGAAAUUUUGAAUUAAAACAUCAGUGUUCAAAAAUC